GCUCCUGUAGUCUAGCCAGGUAGGAUAUCGGACUUUCGAUCCGGCGACUCGGGUUCAAAUCCCGGCAGGAGCA
rnacentral:tRNA from 1 species